CCUACGGGGGGCAGCAGUGGGGAAUAUUGGACAAUGGGGGGAACCCUGAUCCAGCCAUGCCGCGUGUGUGAAGAAGGCCCUCGGGUUGUAAAGCACUUUCAGUGAGGAAGAACGCCUGGUGGUUAAUACCCAUCAGGAAAGACAUCACUCACAGAAGAAGCACCGGCUAACUCCGUGCCAGCAGCCGCGGUAAUACGGAGGGUGCGAGCGUUAAUCGGAAUUACUGGGCGUAAAGCGCGCGUAGGUGGCUUGAUAAGCCGGGUGUGAAAGCCCCGGGCUCAACCUGGGAACGGCAUCCGGAACUGUCACGCUAGAGUGUAGGAGAGGAAGGUAGAAAUCCAGGUGUAGCGGUGAAAUGCGUAGAGAUCGGGAGGAACACCAGUGGCGAAGGCGGCAAUCUGGACUGAUACUGACCCUGAGGUGCGAAAGCGUGGGUAGCAAACAGGAUUAGCUACCCGGGUAGUC
rnacentral:rRNA from 1 species